rnacentral:lncRNA from 1 species
CCGCGCUUCACAUCAAAUGUCCCCUGUGGCCAUGGCAACAGCUUUGGGGGAGGGGGUGCCGGUCCGCGGGCCAGCAGCGGGCAGCCUGCGACUCCUGCCAGGGUCCAGCGCUCCGCUGGGGUAGAGUCCGUCAUUAGUGCUGAAUCCAGUUGUGCCCGGACCAGAAGAGACACCAGAGCCAGUCCCGUCCCCUCCCCGGGCUGGUCAUAGCAGGCCCAACCCUGGACGGACACACAAAUAUCUGUGCUGCCCACAUCCAGCCAACACAGGCAGCAGGAUAUUUCCUCCUAGUCAGACUGGUGAGUUUUUAUUUUUCAUUUUCAUAUUUCAAAAUAUGCAGGUAUUUGAGAAACAUUUUAAAAAUCAUAUUUUUCAUUUAUCACUCAG